rnacentral:lncRNA from 1 species
UCUAUUAGUACAGAGAUCAGAGGAACUCCGGAGAGGAUCUUGUUGGAGGCCAUAAUGAGAGAAAAAUGAAAAAGGAGAGGAAAUGGAAGUACCCACACUCCCCAGAGGAAAACAAGACAACAAAUAUGUAAUCAUGUAUUACACCAUCAGGAUGAAGAGGAGAGGAAAAUUCCAUGCAGAGCCCAGAGAAACAAAAAGAAAGAGAAAUUGAAAGAGAUUGCACCCUGCUGGGAGAGGGAAGACACAUUCACUAAAAAUUAGUUAAGAUAAUUGUUCACAUACCUCCAAUAGCAUUCUAAAAUAACAUAAAAACUGUUUACCAUAAUCUUUUUGCCAUUAUGAAAAGCAAAUAAACUAAAAAAAAAAAAAAGUAGCAAAACCCACAAAUAAGUUUCUAGGAGUGUGUUUAUAAAGUAGUUGAUGCCUUUGAACACUAAGUCUGUCUUACUAAGGUUUUGUAAAAUGCUUGUUCUUUGAUUUAUAUCAUACUUAUCUAGUGUCUUUGGAAAGCAGUGAUCUUCCUUGUCAUGAUUCAAAAUUAUUUCUCAAGACAAGGUUUCAUUACAUAGUUUACAUUCUUGAUACUUUUUGUUUCUUUAAGUCACUUUUAACUGUUCAUUCUGGGACUAGGGAAACCAAAAUAUUUCACCCAAUUUCAAUUGUACACUAAGUAAACAAAUGGAAACUUAAAAGGAAGAAAGCACCUAACACACCCUUUUUCUAUUUUUUGGAAAUAAUUAGAAGUAUUGAACAUUCUUUCUGUUCUAGUGGAUUAUUGUGAAGAAUAGAGACAACAGCUACAAAAGUUAGCUACGUAGGAAUUUAAAUCAAAUUAUUGUACAGCUUUUAAUGUGUCAUAAGCACAUUAAUAACUUAGAAAUAGCACAGAUAAUACAGUAGCAGACUGUUUCCCCAUACACAUGAUUUUCAGUUUCUGAGUGGUAAAUGAAAAUACAAUUUUCAUUAUAUAUGUACCUAUGUCUCUCCAUAUACAAUGAUGAUUAUAUUGGGGGUAGAGCACUUUAAGUAACUAGUUUUCAAUACAGGCUAGCAAGUUAUUAUUUUAUGGGCCAAAAAAUAGAAGAACCAAGAGAUAAAUUAAUGCUUCAAAUUUUACAAAGAAAUUCAAUGGCAAAACUUAGUAUGGUCUUCAUAAUCGAGGCUUUGGUUCCAAUCUCAGCUUUGACACUUCCCUACCAGCUGCUUGAUUCUGAGGCAUUUAACUUUUCUGAACCUCAGUUUUCAAUCUCUAAAGUGGGUUGUUAGGUUGUUAUAUAGGAUAGAGAUUAGUAGCAAAUAAUUCUGGUCAUAUCCUCUUUCAUGUGUGUCCCAUCAUUGUUAAUAAAUUUGGCUCAUUCUUGUUGAAUUUUUAUUAAAUACGGUGUUCUAAGCACUGUGUUGCAGGGCAGCAAAUUAUUCCAAGGAAAUCUGUGAACUCAUAUGAAUACCAAGUAUCACCUCUGGACAGAAUAAGUAAUAUGUCACAUGUAAUGUAUUGUUGUUUUUCUAAUAUAGGCAGACAUGGUUGAUGUUGAUACAAUAGAAAUUGAGGAGCAUAUAGGUACUCCAUUAAAUGAAUAUAUUAAACUAUAGAAAGUACUCAAAUAAGGUAAGCAUAGAGUGUUUGAGGAACAUAGAGUAAGACCAUUAGCAUAACCGGAGAUAACUCCUGAGCUAAAAACUGGAUAAUAAGUAAAAUUUACCUAGAAAAGGCAUUCAAGGCUGAGGACACAAUAGGAUCCAAGGCAUGGAGGCAGGAAAUAAUUUGAUAGAAGUGGGAAUUCUAAGCAGCUGGAGCACUGCAAAAUAAAGGAAGGGUAUAUGUAGUAACCAGAUCUUGGGGGAGUUUUUAUGCUACCUUGUAGAGCUUGGCUUUUGUUUUUAGAUUGAGAUCAACCUCAGAUUAUAUACUUCUGGCUGAAGUACGGAGGGUGGAUGUCGAGAGGAGAAGAGAGAAGACUAGGGGAAGGCUCAGCAGAGAUGAUGAGGCCUUAAACUAGAACAGUAAGGAUAGAUACAUAAGAGGAUGUCUUCAAGAAAUAUUUAUUUUCAAAUGUUUAUUUAUUUAUUUUGAGAGAGAGAAAGGUGGGGGAGGGACUGAGAGGGAGAGAGAGAGAGAGAGAGAAUCCCAAGCAGGAUCUGUACUGUCAACAGAGCCUGACUUGGGGCUUGAACUCAUGAAACCAUGAGAUCAUUACCUGAGCCGAAAUCAAGAGAUGGAUGCUUAACCGACUGAGCCACCCAGGUGCCCCUGGGAAUUAAUAAAAGUAAAAGAAAAUUAAGAGACUUAUUUAUGGCCUAACAUAUAAUCUAUUUUGGAGAAUGUUCCAUGUGCACUUGAGAAAAAUGUGUUAUUUACUAUUAUUGGGGGAUGUUGUAUAGAUGUCUGUUUGGUCUGGAGUGUUAGGUUUAUAGUGUUAUUAAAGUCUUCUGCUUCCUUCCUGAUCUUCUGUCUCCUUGUUCUAUUAACUGAAAGUAGACUUUGAAAUCUCCAACUAUUAUUAAGUUGUCUAUUUCUCCAAUUCUGCCAGUUUUUUCUUCACGUGUUUUGGGGUUCUGUUGUUAGGUGCGUAUGUGUUUAUAAUUGUUACAUCUUCCUAAUGAAUUGAUCCUUUUAUCGUUAUAAAAUGUCUUUGUCUCCAGUAACAACUUUUGUUUUAAAGUCUGUUUUGUCUGAUAUUAGUAUAGUUAUUUAAACUCUUUUGGUUACUCUUUGUAUGGCAUAAUUUUUUCCCAUUCUUUUACUUUCAACCUAUUUGUGUCUAUGAAUUUAAAGCAUGUCUCUCAAUGAGAUACCACAUCACACCUGUCAGAAAGGAUAAAAUUAACAACUCAGGAAAUAACAGAUGUUGGCAAGGACAUAGUGAAAGGGGAACCCUUUUGCACUGCUGGUGGGAAUGCAAAAUGGUGCAGCCACUCUGGAAAACAGUAUGGACGUUCCUCAAAAAAUUAAAAAUAGAACUACCCUACGACCCAACAAUUGCACUACUAGGUAUUUAUCUGAAGGAUAUAAAAAUUCUUAUUUGAAGGGGUACAUGCACCCUAAUGUUUAUAGCAACACUAUCAACAAUAGCCAAAUUAUGGAAAGAGCCCAAAUGUCCAUUGACUGAUGAGUGGAUAAAGAAUAUGUGGUGUGUGUAUAUAUAUAUAUACAUAUACACAAUGGAAUAUUACUCGGUGAUGAAAAAGAAUGAAAUCUUGCCAUUUGCAACAACAUGAAUGGAACUAGAGUGUAUUUUGUAAGGAAAAUAAGUCAGUCAGAGAAAGAUAAAUAUCAUAUGAUUUCACUCAUGUGGAAUUUAAGAAACAAAACAGAUGAACAUAGGAGAAUGGAGGGAAAAAUAAGAUAAAAAGAGAGAUGGAUGCAAACCAUGUGAGACUCUUAAAUACAGAGAACAAACAGGGUUGCUGGAGGGGUGUUGUGUCCAAGGAUGGUCUAAAUGGGUGAUGUGCAUUAAGGAGGGCACUUGUUGGGAUGAGCACUGGUGUUGUAUGUAAGUGAUAAAUCACUAAAUUCUACUCCUGAAAUCAUUAUUACACUACAUGUUAACUAACUUGGAAUUAAAUAAAAUUUAGGGGCACCUGAGUUAAGUGUUUGACUUCGGCUCAGGUCAUGAUCUCACAGUCCGUGGGUUCAAGCCCCGUGUUGGGCUCUGUGCUGACAGCUCAGAGCCUGGAGCUUGUGUUGGAUUCUGUGUCCCACCCCCCACCCCCCUUUGCACCACCCCUGCUCAUGCUCUGUCUCGCACUGUCUCUCAAAAAUAAAUAAAUGUUAAAAAAUUUUUUUGAAUGAAUAAAAUUUAAAAAUUAAAAAAAAAGUGUGUCUCUUAUAGAAAGCAUAGUUAGGUUAGUUAAAAAAAUUAAUUCUGCUGACAUCUGCCUUUUGAUUAGAGAGUUUAUUCCAUUUACAUUUGAUAUAGCUACUGAUAAGUUAUGGUAUAAGUGUGUCAUUUGCUAUUUAUUUUCUACAUGUCUUGUGUCUUUGUUUCUCUAUUCCUCCAUUACUGCUUUCUUUUGUGUUAACUACAUAUUUUAUAUCUAUAUAUAACUUUGUAUAUAUAUGAUAUAUAUUUUAUAUCUCUAUAUAUCAUAUAUAUGAAUAUUUUUGAAUAAUAUAUGUAUAUUUCUGUAAGAAUGCAUUUGUAAGUGUACAUAAAGAAAACAGAAGGAUAUACAUAAAUAGAGAAGGCUAAAAGUUUUUAAGAGUUAUUAUUAUUUUGUUUACUUAUUCAUAAGAUUGUAAUAAGAUCUAUAAUAUUAAAAAGCCCACUAUUUCCCACCAUUGCUAAAGUUAAAUCCAAAUAGUAUGUUGUAGAGAGAUAGCAUUUUUCUCUAGAGACUCUGUAGAUCCACUUUUCCCCAUUAAUUUCAAGAUAGAGCAAAAUUUCACAGUGCUUUACAAAAAGAUUGAUGUCUUUUAACUAUGAGACUAUCCAGAGAUUCAGAAUUCAAAAUACAAAUAUGCAGUAUAGUUGGAUAGUCAAAUAUACCUACUAUAUUGCAGUAGAAAGAGCCUAAGCAAUUUUUGGCCUAUGUUCAAAGUUUUACUACUGCAAACAAAGUGCUGAAUCAUGUUUUUCUUAGAAAGAAUCAUAACAUCAGUUUAUAACCUAUUUUCUUCAGUUCACUCUAAUUCCUUGGACUUUUUAGGGGGCAAGAAUGUGGGUCUUAUUUUCAAGUAGUCAAAGUAUUUUUUAAAAAUUUGGUUGAGGGGUGCCUGGGUGGCUCAGUCAGUUAAGCAUCCAACUUUGGCUCAGGUCAUGAUCUUGGGGUUUGUGAGUUCGAGCCCCACGUCGGGCUCUGCUGACAGCUCAGAGCCUUGAGCCCAUUUAGGAUUCUGUGUCUCCCUCUCUCUCUGCCUCUCCCCCACUCAUGCCCUGUCUCUCUCCUUCAAAAAUAAACAUAACAUUUUUUAAAUUUGGUUGAUAAAUAGUAUGUCAUAAUGAUGAGAAUGGUAAACUUCAACAGAAAUGUGAAAAAUUCCUGGGGCGCCUGGGUGGCGCAGUCGGUUAAGCGUCCGACUUCAGCCAGGUCACGAUCUCGCGGUCCGUGAGUUCGAGCCCCGCGUCGGACUCUGGGCUGAUGGCUCAGAGUCUGGAGCCUGCUUCCGAUUCUGUGUCUCCCUCUCUCUCUGCCCCUCCCCUGUUCAUGCUCGGUCUCUCUCUGUCCCAAAAGUAAAUAAACGUUGAAAAAAAAAAAAAAUUUAAAAAAAAAAAAAUUCCAAAACAGUGGGUGUUUGAACAUAAACAUAGGUGAGGAAUUCAAAACCAGGUUAUUAUUUUAACAAAACCAAGCUAAUAUUUUAGCAAAGGCAGUGUUCCAGAGCUCUAUUAAGUCUAGGAAAUAUGCAUAAUAGUAAACACAAAGUAAUAGAGUGCCAUAUAUAUAUAUAUAUAUAUAUACACACACACACGCAUAAUAUAUACAAUCUUCACCGCUAGAUGAAACUAAUUCAAACAUAAAUUUUCUUCCAGAUUUUGAUUUAAAACUUAUUUUACUUAUAAUUAUUUUUUAUAGUUAUUUUCUUUUUACCAGCUAGUAACAUAGACAGUGUUUAUGUACAUUUUGAAUGCCAGUACUCUAUUCUUAAGGAUUUUACAUUUUCAAGGAAGUAAACUGGUAUUUACUAAUGAGUAACCUAGUUUUGAGGCAGCAGUCAUAAGCAAAAGCUAAGUGGAUUCUUUUGUGCUAAGAGCUAGGGAAUAACAGGAAUCAACUUUCUGUUGUCUGUAGUCCCAGGAGACUGUAAACAAACUAAGAGUAUUACAGAGGGACAAAUAAGCAUUAGUGUUCCCAGGCACACCCAUGGGCAGGUUUAAUGACUAAGCUAUUUGAAUGUGAGGCUUAUGAUUUCUCUACAUUUACUUGGUAGAUUAGAAUUCAGGAAAGUGUCAGGGUGCCUGGGUAGCUCAGUCAGUUGAGUGUCUGACUCAGGUCAUGAUCCUAGGGUCGUGGGAUCAGCCCCAUGUUCAGUUCUGUGCUGACUGUGAAGCCUGCUUGAGAUUUUCUCUCUCUCUUUCUUUCUUCUCUCUCUCUCUCUCAUUCUGCCCUUCUCUCCUGCACACGCUGUCUCUCUCAAAUCAAAAAAGAAUUCAGGAAAGUGUCCACACAGUUCUCAAAAACAAACCUGAUGGAUCUCUGGGGGAGGUAGUAGGACGGAAUUGUCAAAUGGGAUUUUAGUUUUUUCUGUACUAUCUUAUUGUUUAUAAGGAGAUUAUAUUCAUAUACUAAAUUGAUGAUUAAAAACUUUAAAAAAAGUUAAAAAAGAGAUACGAAUAAUUGAGAAAUCAUCAUAUAAAUGUAGAUUUAUGAACUUGUACCCUCUCGGGGUAAUUGAUUCCUCUUUAAACAGCAUAUUUAUUUGGCAUUUUUGAAGGGCAUAUAAAGCCACUCUAGGGGUCCAAAUGGAAUGUGAUUAAAACUAGAGAAGAAUAAAUAAUUAAAUUAAAUAAUUUGGGUCAUUUGAAAAACACCCUGCCUGGUAUCUGCACCUCAGGACCACCUUAGGGUAACCAGGAUGCCAGAAUUUGUGCAAGCCUACUUACUGGGUGAAGAAAGGCAAGCUGCUUAAACUUUACCUGCCUCAAAUUUUCUCAGCAAUUCAAUGGGAGGUUAUGCUGCUUUUUCCUUGCAGAAAUGAAAUCACAAUUUAUUUUAAGGGGAGAGAGAGAAAAAAAAAACAGAGACAUAUUCAGUAAUAAAGAUUAGAAGAGCCUUGAGAUUGAGAAGUAUAGCUCACUCACUGAUGUCUCUUCUCUCCCAGGGUACCUGGCAUUGGAGCCUGACACACAGUCACUGUUGAACUGAAGUUUGGAUUUCCAAAUCUACAAAGAUGAAGAUCAAAUUGUAGACAACGGCUCCAGCAGAUCUUUAAAGGCUCACCUCUGCUCUCUCCUAUCCUCUUCGCUCCUCUAUUUCUAUAUCCAAUUUGCUUGCCCUGUCAUCAAUCCAUGCACUCUGCCUAAGAUACCUAUUCCCACUUUUGGAACAGCCAGACACUUUUUUGUGUAUGUUUUUGGACCAACUUAAAUGCCACCUCAUCUCUGAAGCUCCCUCUGACUGUCUCCUGGGCAAUUAUUGCCCUAGCAUCAUGUUCCUAAGCAUCUUAUGUAAUUUCUUUCAUAUUACAAUUUUUAUGUUGGGUUCCCCACUGGUUGAGAAUUCUUUGAAAGAGAGCUAGUGACUUAUUUAUCUUUUUAUCCCCAAAGUCUGGCAUGUGCCUGGCAUUUAGGAAAUACAAAGUAAUGUUUAAAAAAUAAAUUGUUAAUGUGAAUUUUACCUUAAGCAUAAUCUGUCACCGUAGGGCACAACAGGGCUAUCAAUUGAUUACAUUAAAUAAAUAAAAAAAAAAACUCUUCCUUUCUCUACUUUUUGACCAAGAAUAAAAAUUAAAAUCAAAUUAUAUAACAUUUUAGAUAAAUAUUUUUAUGAUUUAAGGCAUUAGAAACAUCAUGCAUUUUCUAUAUGAUUCUUCAAGUAUAGCAUCAGCAUCACUUGGAAACGUGUUAGAAAUGUAAAUUCUUGUGCCUCAUCUCAGACUUAUGAAAUCAGAAAUUCUGGGCAUGAAGUUCAGUAAUCUGUAUUUUAACAAAUCCCCCAAAGAUGAUUCUGAUGCACUUUUUUUUUUAAUUUUUAAGAGUUUAUUUAUAUUUGAGAGAGAAAGAGAUGAGAGAGAGAGAGAGAGAGAGAGAGAAAGCGAGCUUGAGCUGGCAAGGAACAGAGAGAGAAAGAGGGAGAGAAUCCCAAGCAGACUCCAUGCUGUCAGUGCAGAGCCCAGCUCAGGGCUUGAUAUCACAAACUGUGAGAUCAUGACCUGAGCUGAAAUCAAGAGUUGGACGCUUACGUGACUGAGCUGCCCACGUGCCCUGACCAAAUGUAAGUUUCUUAAGCAUUUUUAUUUGUUCUAGAACAAUGUUUCUCAGAUUUUAGAAUGCAGCAGAAUUGAGGCUUCUGGGUGGCUCAAUUGGUUAAACGUCUGAUUCUUGGUUUUAGCUCAGGCCAUGAUCCCAGGGUCAUGGGAUUGAGCUCUGCAUCAGGCUGAGCAUGGAGCCUAGUUAGGAUUCUCUCUCAUCUCUCUCUCUCUCUCUCUUUCCCUCUCCCUUCUCUCUCUCCCUCUGCCCUUAUUCCCUGCUUGUAAUCUCAUUCUCUCUUAAAAAACAAAACAAAACAAACAAAAAAACCCUUACACUUGGUCAACAACUAUUUUUAAUUUUUUUUUUUUCAACGUUUAUUUAUUUUUGGGACAGAGAGAGACAGAGCAUGA